rnacentral:lncRNA from 1 species
CACAAAAAAGAUUGGUGUUAUUAAGCGUCCGUGCAAAAGUUUCUUUUAAAAAGAAUUAGGGGAACAAGAUCAUAUGAGAAGUAACUUUCUUUGUUAGACCAAAUUGCAAGACCAAGAACAAGUGCUAGACUUUUAGUGGCGUUAGUAUUGGCCAUCUGGAGAUUCCUCUAGGCUCUAGAAAAGCAGUUACUACAUAAAAAUCUAACCAUGCCCUUUGCAUGAAAAACAGUAAGGCAGAUUGGACCCUGCUUCCUUCAGCCGUAAAUGUUCACUUCAUGUGCAUCUCCGGAAGAAUAAAAUAAUAGACAUUGAUCACUAACAAUUCGGAAGAUGGAACAGUUUUCCAUUUAAGGACAGUACAGUCCCAACAAAAGGAAAAAUCAAACACAUCAAAUAAUAAGCACACUGCACGCUUUCUGCAAGGAAGUUUGGAAGGAGAUUACCUGUCAUAAAGGCCAGCACCUGCA